UCAAAGAGCACCAGGGAGCACCUGGGAUCCGUCUGUUUUGGGGGCACUGAGCCACACUGCCUGCUAGAGGGUGGCAGUGGCCAUGAAAAGGAUGUCAGGAGUGGUUGGAUCCUGACGUGAUCGAUUUGACAGUGGAUUUAGAUGGAGAAGCAAAGUUGUUACCACACCUCAGCAAGACUCCCUGUAAGAACUCGAUGAUACAAAGAAAUCAGAAAGCCAAAUGGAAGAGUCACCAAUCAUUCCUUGGAAAGACAAAAGAGCAAAAGAGGUCCAGCAACUUCCUUGGUCAGAUCAGACCCGCCUGUUUCUGAAAUGGAGAUGUAGAUCAGCUCCAGAUUUGAUGUGGAGGAAGGGGCAAACAGCACAUAUUCAUCUCUGCCUCUUGUUAGGAUGACAGCCAUCACUAAGGACUUAUAUAAUUAAGAAGGUUAUCAGAAGGAUUCUGCAGUCUCCAGGAGUACAAACCCUUCAAGGCAUAUGUCAACAGCCUGUUAUGGUGACUUGAAACCCUGCUGGGUGGGAUUCUGUGAAAUACCCGAUAUGAUGGCAGAAUUGGACAGCAGUGGUGCUGUCCCCCUCUGAAAGGCAGAGGAGAGAAGCUGCACCUGUACACUCAAUAGCUGAUGAGGCAAUGGGUUACUCAUUUUGGGAAGAAGACCCCAUCACUAAGAAGGGAUGGAGGAAAAGGGCUGUCUCUUUAUUUGGGUGUGUGGGAGAUGGACUGAGCUUGGCUCCGAGGGCUGCUUGUCAAACUGACUCUUUACAGGGUAUCCCAAAGCUCAUCUAUCUCUGAAGUCUCCUUAAAGGAGAUGUUUUCAUCUAUGGUUUUGCCUUCUCCUGGGCUACAUGUACACAUACACUUAGGUUGGCGAAAGCUGCACUACUGAUGAGCUUGUUAGCUGUGGUGCCUUGUGUCUUUUUCAUUUAGGAUAUUGUAAAGUCUAGCUCUCAGUGGAGCUCUCAGAUGAGCCGCUCUCAUUAUAUUCUUGUUGUUACUCUUUCGUCUGUGGAUCUCUAUUGUGUAUUGCAGCUGACGUGAACAUUUCAAUAAAGUUCCAGCUCAGAUAGGCAGAA